GAUGAACGCUGGCGGCGUGCCUAAUACAUGCAAGUCGAGCGAACGGACGAGAAGCUUGCUUCUCUGAUGUUAGCGGCGGACGGGUGAGUAACACGUGGAUAACCUGCCUAUAAGACUGGGAUAACUUCGGGAAACCGGAGCUAAUACCGGAUAAUAUUUUGAACCGCAUGGUUCAAAAGUGAAAGACGGUCUUGCCGUCACUUAUAGAUGGAUCCGCGCUGCAUUAGCUAGUUGGUAAGGUAACGGCUUACCAAGGCAACGAUGCAUAGCCGACCUGAGAGGGUGAUCGGCCACACUGGAACUGAGACACGGUCCAGACUCCUACGGGAGGCAGCAGUAGGGAAUCUUCCGCAAUGGGCGAAAGCCUGACGGAGCAACGCCGCGUGAGUGAUGAAGGUCUUCGGAUCGUAAAACUCUGUUAUUAGGGAAGAACAUAUGUGUAAGUAACUGUGCACAUCUUGACGGUACCUAAUCAGAAAGCCACGGCUAACUACGUGCCAGCAGCCGCGGUAAUACGUAGGUGGCAAGCGUUAUCCGGAAUUAUUGGGCGUAAAGCGCGCGUAGGCGGUUUUUUAAGUCUGAUGUGAAAGCCCACGGCUCAACCGUGGAGGGUCAUUGGAAACUGGAAAACUUGAGUGCAGAAGAGGAAAGUGGAAUUCCAUGUGUAGCGGUGAAAUGCGCAGAGAUAUGGAGGAACACCAGUGGCGAAGGCGACUUUCUGGUCUGUAACUGACGCUGAUGUGCGAAAGCGUGGGGAUCAAACAGGAUUAGAUACCCUGGUAGUCCACGCCGUAAACGAUGAGUGCUAAGUGUUAGGGGGUUUCCGCCCCUUAGUGCUGCAGCUAACGCAUUAAGCACUCCGUCUGGGGAGUACGACCGCAAGGUUGAAACUCAAAGGAAUUGACGGGGACCCGCACAAGCGGUGGAGCAUGUGGUUUAAUUCGAAGCAACGCGAAGAACCUUACCAAAUCUUGACAUCCUUUGACAACUCUAGAGAUAGAGCCUUCCCCUUCGGGGGACAAAGUGACAGGUGGUGCAUGGUUGUCGUCAGCUCGUGUCGUGAGAUGUUGGGUUAAGUCCCGCAACGAGCGCAACCCUUAAGCUUAGCUGCCAUCAUUAAGUUGGGCACUCUAAGUUGACUGCCGGUGACAAACCGGAGGAAGGUGGGGAUGACGUCAAAUCAUCAUGCCCCUUAUGAUUUGGGCUACACACGUGCUACAAUGGACAAUACAAAGGGCAGCGAAACCGCGAGGUCAAGCAAAUCCCAUAAAGUUGUUCUCAGUUCGGAUUGUAGUCUGCAACUCGACUACAUGAAGCUGGAAUCGCUAGUAAUCGUAGAUCAGCAUGCUACGGUGAAUACGUUCCCGGGUCU
rnacentral:rRNA from 1 species